UGGAGGUUGUGCCCUUGAGGCGUGGCUUCCGGAGCUAACGCGUUAAGUCGACCGCCUGGGGAGUACGGCCGCAAGGUUAAAACUCAAAUGAAUUGACGGGGGCCCGCACAAGCGGUGGAGCAUGUGGUUUAAUUCGAUGCAACGCGAAGAACCUUACCUACUCUUGACAUCCAGAGAACUUACCAGAGAUGCAUUGGUGCCUUCGGGAACUCUGAGACAGGUGCUGCAUGGCUGUCGUCAGCUCGUGUUGUGAAAUGUUGGGUUAAGUCCCGCAACGAGCGCAACCCUUAUCCUUUGUUGCCAGCGGUCCGGCCGGGAACUCAAAGGAGACUGCCAGUGAUAAACUGGAGGAAGGUGGGGAUGACGUCAAGUCAUCAUGGCCCUUACGAGUAGGGCUACACACGUGCUACAAUGGCGCAUACAAAGAGAAGCGAACUCGCGAGAGCAAGCGGACCUCAUAAAGUGCGUCGUAGUCCGGAUUGGAGUCUGCAACUCGACUCCAUGAAGUCGGAAUCGCUAGUAAUCGUAGAUCAGAAUGCUACGGUGAAUACGUUCCCGGGCCU
rnacentral:rRNA from 1 species